rnacentral:rRNA from 1 species
AUUGAACGCUGGCGGCAUGCUUUACACAUGCAAGUCGAACGGCAGCGCGGGCUUCGGCCUGGCGGCGAGUGGCGAACGGGUGAGUAAUGCAUCGGAACGUGCCCAGUAGUGGGGGAUAGCCCGGCGAAAGCCGGAUUAAUACCGCAUACGACCUGAGGGUGAAAGCGGGGGACCGAAAGGCCUCGCGCUAUUGGAGCGGCCGAUGUCGGAUUAGCUAGUUGGUGGGGUAAAGGCUUACCAAGGCGACGAUCCGUAGCUGGUCUGAGAGGACGACCAGCCACCUGGGGAGUGGGCCGGCGCCCUGGGGCCUACGGGAGGCACCAGGGGGGAAUUGGGGACAACGGGGGGAAACCUUGUACAGCGGGGGGGCGAGCGGGAAAGAGGCGUCGCGGUUGGAAAGCGGGCUUGUGCGGGGAGAAAUCCUCUGGGCUGAGACCCCGGGGGGAUGACGGUACCGGAAGAAUAAGCACCGGCUAACUACGUG